GAUGAACGCUAGCGGCAGGCUUAAUACAUGCAAGUCGAGGGGUAGCAAGAUUGUAGCAAUACAAUUGUUGACGACCGGCAAACGGGUGCGGAACACGUACACAACCUUCCUACAAGUGGGGAAUAGCCCAGAGAAAUUUGAAUUAAUACCCCGUAACAUAACGAUGUGGCAUCACAUUGCUAUUAUAGCUUCGGCGCUUGUUGAUGGGUGUGCGGCUGAUUAGAUAGUUGGCGGGGUAACGGCCCACCAAGUCUACGAUCAGUAGCUGAUGUGAGAGCAUGAUCAGCCACACGGGAACUGAGACACGGGCCCGACGCCUACGGGAGGCAGCAGUAAGGAAUAUUGGACAAUGGACGCAAGUCUGAUCCAGCCAUGCCGCGUGAAGGAUUAAGGUCCUCUGGAUUGUAAACUUCUUUUAUAAGGGACGAAAAAAGGUCUUUCUAGAUCGUCUGACGGUACCUUAUGAAUAAGCACCGGCUAACUCCGUGCCAGCCGCCGCAGUAACAC
rnacentral:rRNA from 1 species